rfam:Pan troglodytes isolate Yerkes chimp pedigree #C0471 (Clint) chromosome 19, whole genome shotgun sequence.
GCCGGGCGUGGUGGCAGGCGCCUGUAAUCCCAGCUACUCGAGAGGCUGAGGCAGGAGAAUCGCUUGAACCCGGGAGGCGGAGGUUGCAGUGAGCCGAGAUCGUGCCAUUGCACUACAGCCUGGGAGAAAAGAGUGAAACUCCAUCUCAAAAGAAGAGAGAAAGGUUUUUGUGUUUGUUUUGAGACGGAGUUUUGCUCUGUUGCCCAGGCUGGAGUGCAGUGGCACGAUCUCGGCUCGCUGCAUCCUCCGCCUCCCGUGUUCAAGCAAUUCUUCUGCCUCAG